CCAACGACCAAAGCAAAGGACAGCAUAACUGAAUGACACAUUGCUCAGAAAAUAUCCAAAGCUCUGUACGCUCUGGAAAGGAAGGCAAGAAUUGCUAAAGACUCUGGAUAUUGCUCUGUUUCUAUAAGGUCCCACCCAUAUACCAUCUCUUCUUUUGGAUUUCCUUUGGCAGGGUUCCCUUGUAUGGAAGUUCUCGGGAGAACAACACUCUCAGAGUCCCAUUGUCUCAAAGAAUUCUUAAUGGACAGCUAUACUUGGCCCCAAGGUUCCAACCUCACAUUGAAGAAAGUGACAUAAGAAAACACAAGUCCCAGCGCUAUCAGGGGCUAUCUGGAAAAGCUGCUUAAACGGCAAGUGAAAGAAGGCUCUCCCCUACCCCGUUCUAGUUAUAAACGUCACAUCUCUUAAAAUACAGCCAAGGUGAUGAAGCUGAUGGAACUCACCCUGAAGUUAUUUGAAGGAUCCUUGAAACUCUUUUGGAUUGCUGCUUGGAGAACAUUCCUGUAACUUGUUCCUGCUCCUUGAACUAUAAAAGCAGAAGGGAAUUACUGAGUUAAAACUUAUAAAUUAUUAUCAAAUAAAUCUUCAACAGUGGUUCA
rnacentral:antisense_RNA from 1 species